AUGCAUUUUACGGGAAAUAAAUGUCGUCUCUUUCUCUUUCUCUUUCUCUUUCUCUUUCUCUUUCAGUUCAUCUUGACAUCUCUUCGCCUUCGCUUUUUCAAAAAUCUCCGAGGGAGACGAUCUUUCAUCUGUUUGUUCGUCGAUGAUCAUGACUCUCUCUUGUUCGAUUUCCUCGAAAUCACAUCCUCGGGUCUCUCUCUUCCUCGUUGAUUCCGUCGAAACCUCGAACGGAGAUGUCGUUUGAUUCGUUUUUUUCUUCGUCGAUGUUCUCCUCCAGACUCGUGCAUGCAAUCACCAUGAAAAUCGAUAGGGGAGUUGUGGUUUUAGCAGCGACGAAGGGACUAUGGAGACGAUGAUGAACAGAGGCUCAUGUUUUUUGCUUGUCGAAUCCGAUGACUCAACUCGCCAAAUUGUCACUGCCCUGCUUCAAUAGUUCAAUUACAAAGGUCAUUGCUUUACUCUGUUUAAUUGUUUGAUGUGUUAAAGGUUCUUUCUUUGUCUUGAUUUUGAAGUUUGAGUAGACUCUGGUUUUGAUUCAAAACACUUAAUUGAUUAAAUCUUUAUUUUUUUACUCUGUUCCAAGUUUCAUAAGUUAACUAUAGUGUUGGGUUUUUAUUUGAAAUGACAAGGUUAGCUGCGUGGGUAACAGUAAAGGAGAAGAGACAUGGACAAAGGUCUUGCUGGGAGCAGCAAGAUACGGAUCACGCGUCAUCAAAGCGGAUCAAACCUGUCAACAGGUGUACCGAGGCCUUGAUGUUGGAUCAGCCAAGCCAUCAGGUGAAGACUUGUGACACAAGAGAAGACUCGAUUCUGUAGUUUGCUUACUGGUGUCAUCACUCUUUGUUGUCAAACAUUUAGAACCCCAUUGGGGUUCUCCCAUUGGAGGUCAAAAUAUUAAUUACCAUUAACCAAGGUUCUUCAGCUUUCAAA